rnacentral:rRNA from 1 species
CCCUUAGAUGUUCUGGGCUGCACGCGCGCUACACUGACAUACUCAGCAAGUUUCCUUUCCCGAAAGGGUUGGGUAAUCUUGUUAGUGUAUGUCGUGAUGGGGAUAGAAUAUUGUAAUUAUUGCUCUUUAACGAGGAAUUCCUAGUAAGCGCAAGUCAACAGCUUGCGCUGAUUACGUCCCUGCCCUUUGUACACACCGCCCGUCGCUCCUACCGAGUGGGUGAUCCGGUGAACUAUUCGGACUCCGGUUAUUCCAGCAUUUGGUUUUGCUGGGGAAAGUUUCGUGAACCUUAUCACUUGGAGGAAGGAGAAGUCGUAACA